rnacentral:rRNA from 1 species
AUUCCAGCUCCAAUAGCGUACACUAAAGUUGUUGCAGUUAAAAAGCUCGUAGUCUAAUGUAUGGGAGUUGCGGUGUGGGUGUUUGGUUGGUUUUGCCGACUAGACAAUACUCGCUCCGCUUCCCGCUUGUUUUGCUCUCUUUUCUAGAAGGCAAAUGUUUCACUGUAAGUAAAACAACUCGCUCAACAGCAAGGUUAUCUUGAUAUGAAUUAGUAUGGGAUGAUGAGAUAGGCUCGGUCCGUAUUUUGUUGGUUUUAGUGGUCUGAGAAUGAUGAAGAGGGACAAUUGGGGGUAUUCGUAUUUACAUGUCAGAGGUGGAAUUCUUGGAUUUUGGAAAGACGAACUAAUGCGAAAGCAUCUACCAAAGAUGUUUUCAUCA